rnacentral:rRNA from 1 species
UACGUAGGGUGCGAGCGUUAAUCGGAAUUACUGGGCGUAAAGCGUGCGCAGGCGGUUCUCCAAGUCCGUUGUGAAAGCCCCGGGCUCAACCUGGGAAUGGCAGUGGAAACUAGGGGACUGGAAUCUGGCAGAGGGGGGUGGAAUGCCGCGUGUAGCAGUGAAAUGCGUAGAGAUGCGGCGGAACACCGAUGGCGAAGGCAGCCCCCUGGGCCAGCACUGACGCUCAUGCACGAAAGCGUGGGGAGCAAACAGG